UGUGAACUCGAAGAGUAGGGCGGGACACGUGGUAUCCUGUCUGAAUAUGGGGGGACCAUCCUCCAAGGCUAAAUACUCCUGACUGACCGAUAGUGAACCAGUACCGUGAGGGAAAGGCGAAAAGAACCCCGGCGAGGGGAGUGAAAAAGAACCUGAAACCGUGUACGUACAAGCAGUGGGAGCACCUUCGGGUGUGACUGCGUACCUUUUGUAUAAUGGGUCAGCGACUUAUAUUCUGUAGCAAGGUUAACCGUAUAGGGGAGCCGCAGGGAAACCGAGUCUUAACUGGGCGUUAAGUUGCAGGGUAUAGACCCGAAACCCGGUGAUCUAGCCAUGGGCAGGUUGAAGGUUGGGUAACACUAACUGGAGGACCGAACCGACUAAUGUUGAAAAAUUAGCGGAUGACUUGUGGCUGGGGGUGAAAGGCCAAUCAAACCGGGAGAUAGCUGGUUCUCCCCGAAAGCUAUUUAGGUAGCGCCUCGUGAACUCAUCUUCGGGGGUAGAGCACUGUUUCGGCUAGGGGGUCAUCCCGACUUACCAACCCGAUGCAAACUACGAAUACCGAAGAAUGUUAUCACGGGAGACACACGGCGGGUGCUAACGUCCGUCGUGAAGAGGGAAACAACCCAGACCGCCAGCUAAGGUCCCAAAGUCAUGGUUAAGUGGGAAACGAUGUGGGAAGGCACAGACAGCCAGGAUGUUGGCUUAGAAGCAGCCAUCAUUUAAAGAAAGCGUAAUAGCUCACUGGUCGAGUCGGCCUGCGCGGAAGAUGUAACGGGGCUAAACCAUGCACCGAAGCUGCGGCAGCGACACUAUGUGUUGUUGGGUAGGGGAGCGUUCUGUAAGCCUGCGAAGGUGUGCUGUGAGGCAUGCUGGAGGUAUCAGAAGUGCGAAUGCUGACAUAAGUAACGAUAAAGCGGGUGAAAAGCCCGCUCGCCGGAAGACCAAGGGUUCCUGUCCAACGUUAAUCGGGGCAGGGUGAGUCGACCCCUAAGGCGAGGCCGAAAGGCGUAGUCGAUGGGAAACAGGUUAAUAUUCCUGUACUUGGUGUUACUGCGAAGGGGGGACGGAGAAGGCUAUGUUAGCCGGGCGACGGUUGUCCCGGUUUAAGCAUGUAGGCUGAUNNNNNNNNNNNNNNNNNNNNNNNNNNNNNNNNNNNNNNNNNNNNNNNNNNNNNNNNNNNNNNNNNNNNNNNNNNNNNNNNNNNNNNNNNNNNNNNNAUCAAGGCUGAGGUGUGAUGACGAGGCACUACGGUGCUGAAGUAACAAAUGCCCUGCUUCCAGGAAAAGCCUCUAAGCAUCAGGUAACAUCAAAUCGUACCCCAAACCGACACAGGUGGUCAGGUAGAGAAUACCAAGGCGCUUGAGAGAACUCGGGUGAAGGAACUAGGCAAAAUGGUGCCGUAACUUCGGGAGAAGGCACGCUGGUGUGUAGGUGAAGUCCCUGCGGAUGGAGCUGAGACCAGUCGAAGAUACCAGCUGGCUGCAACUGUUUAUUAAAAACACAGCACUGUGCAAACACGAAAGUGGACGUAUACGGUGUGACGCCUGCCCGGUGCCGGAAGGUUAAUUGAUGGGGUUAUCCGUAAGGAGAAGCUCUUGAUCGAAGCCCCGGUAAACGGCGGCCGUAACUAUAACGGUCCUAAGGUAGCGAAAUUCCUUGUCGGGUAAGUUCCGACCUGCACGAAUGGCGUAAUGAUGGCCAGGCUGUCUCCACCCGAGACUCAGUGAAAUUGAACUCGCUGUGAAGAUGCAGUGUACCCGCGGCAAGACGGAAAGACCCCGUGAACCUUUACUAUAGCUUGACACUGAACAUUGAGCCUUGAUGUGUAGGAUAGGUGGGAGGCUUUGAAGCGUGGACGCCAGUCUGCGUGGAGCCAACCUUGAAAUACCACCCUUUAAUGUUUGAUGUUCUAACGUUGGCCCCUGACCGGGGUUGCGGACAGUGUCUGGUGGGUAGUUUGACUGGGGCGGUCUCCUCCCAAAGCGUAACGGAGGAGCACGAAGGUUAGCUAAUCCUGGUCGGACAUCAGGAGGUUAGUGCAAUGGCAUAAGCUAGCUUGACUGCGAGCGUGACGGCGCGAGCAGGUGCGAAAGCAGGUCAUAGUGAUCCGGUGGUUCUGAAUGGAAGGGCCAUCGCUCAACGGAUAAAAGGUACUCCGGGGAUAACAGGCUGAUACCGCCCAAGAGUUCAUAUCGACGGCGGUGUUUGGCACCUCGAUGUCGGCUCAUCACAUCCUGGGGCUGAAGUAGGUCCCAAGGGUAUGGCUGUUCGCCAUUUAAAGUGGUACGCGAGCUGGGUUUAGAACGUCGUGAGACAGUUCGGUCCCUAUCUGCCGUGGGCGCUGGAGAAUUGAGGGGGGCUGCUCCUAGUACGAGAGGACCGGAGUGGACGCAUCACUGGUGUUCGGGUUGUCAUGCCAAUGGCACUGCCCGGUAGCUAAAUGCGGAAGAGAUAAGUGCUGAAAGCAUCUAAGCACGAAACUUGCCCCGAGAUGAGUUCUCCCUGAGACU
rnacentral:rRNA from 1 species